UCAGGCCUAACACAUGCAAGUCGAACGGCAGCACAGCAGAGCUUGCUCUGUGGGUGGCGAGUGGCGGACGGGUGAGUAAUGCAUCGGGACCUACCUGAACGUGGGGGAUAACGUAGGGAAACUUACGCUAAUACCGCAUACGUCCUACGGGAGAAAGCGGGGGACCUUCGGGCCUCGCGCGGUCAGACGGACCGAUGUUCGAUUAGCUAGUUGGUAAGGUAAUGGCUUACCAAGGCGACGAUCGAUAGCUGGUCUGAGAGGAUGAUCAGCCACACUGGAACUGAGACACGGUCCAGACUCCUACGGGAGGCAGCAGUGGGGAAUCUUGCGCAAUGGGCGAAAGCCUGACGCAGCCAUGCCGCGUGAAUGAUGAAGGUCUUAGGAUUGUAAAAUUCUUUCACCGGGGACGAUAAUGACGGUACCCGGAGAAGAAGCCCCGGCUAACUACGUGCCAGCAGCCGCGGUAAU
rnacentral:rRNA from 1 species